UAAUGGCCAUUGUAUUUUACACCUCUAAUUGAGAGCUGCAUAAGGACCUCACAUUCAUAACUCCCUUACCCUUGAAUUCACGAGCAACAAUUCAGAUAUCCAUGUACGAAUGAAUACCCAUCACAAUUCUCUGCGUGAACCUCAUAAGAUCAAGAUGUUGCUCAUUUUAUUUAGAGGUUGGAAUGCUCUCAAUUGAAUGGUUGUGAUAAUAAUAAUCAUCUUAAAGAUCAUCGAGACAAAUGAUAGUUAUGAAUAAAGUAUGAAGUAGAUAUUAUUUUCUUUUUUUAUCAAUAAAUGUUAAUCAUUAAUAUUAUUAGUUUUUAUUAGUAAAGGAUUUUAAAUUCUGUGAUCUUUUUUUAUUUUAUUACUAGAUCAAUCUUAUAUUUUUAAAUAGAUACUUUUAGUACA